rnacentral:rRNA from 1 species
CAAAGGUUUGGUCCUGACUUUACUAUCAAUUGUCCCCUAAUUUACACAUGCAAGUCUCCGCCUCCCCGUGAGAAUGCCCUUAAUCUCCUGUCCGGAAUUAAGGAGCAGGUAUCAGGCACAUCAAACACUCACCAGCCCACGACGCCUUGCUUAGCCACACCCCUACGGGUAUUCAGCAGUGAUAGAACUUAAGCCAUAAGUGAAAACUUGACUUAGUUAAGGGGAAGAGGGCCGGUAAAACUCGUGCCAGCCACCGCGGUUAUACGAGAGACCCUAAUUGAUAAAAACGGCGUAAAGCGUGGUUAAGAAAAUAAAAAGAUACGGCCGAACAGAUUCAAAGCAGUUAUACGCAUUCGAAACAACGAAGACCAAGCACGAAAGUUGCCCUAAAAAACUCUGACCCCACGAAAGCCAUAAAACAAACUGGGAUUAGAUACCCCACUAUG